AUGAACCCAAACCAAAACAUCCACCUGCAGUAGGGGUGCCUCUAGCUCUGCUCCUCGGGUAGGGCUCUAACUCGCGACGCCCUUGCCUAGAUCCUGAUCAGCAACAGCAGCAGCCGAAGACGAAGGCUCUACAAAAAUGGGGUAACAACUGGGCGUGAGAACUACUGUAGAAACAAGUAGUCCUCAGUGGGUGCCGCCCUCAACAAUCAUCGGUCCACCCACUAAGUCUACAGAAGGUAACAAGGCUAGCAGGAAAAGCUGGAAAGAAAUCUACAGCUACAUAUCGCUACACUAGCAUGAUCUACACUAACCAACUGUAGUAAAAGUCACAACUGACUCAAUCUCACUAGGGACUGUGAACACACCCGUCCUGCCUGUCGGAUCGAACCCGUAACCUACUCCAGGAGUAGCUGGUGGAGAAAACUCUCUAGGGACUGUGAAUACACCCAUACCGUCUAAUUAGGUGACACCGUAGCUCAAGAGUAACCGGCAGAGAAGACUCUCUAGAGACUGUGAAUACACCCGUCUUGUUUACUAGACUACACCGUAUCUCAAGAGUAAUCGGCGGAGAAAACUCUCUAAAGACUGUGAAUACACCGGUCUCGCCUAAUUAGACUACACCGUAUCUCAAGAGUAGUCGAUUCCAGAAAAGGUCCAACAGGACGGCUAAGACUCCACUCACGUCACAACCUCACUAAAGGUAGGAAAAAGCGUCACUCACUAUCUCACCCGGGCUGCCCAAAACGAACCCACCCUGCCUGUAUCUAGCUGCGCCGCACACCACCCCGAGGAUAGCCGGUUCAAGAACUGUCCAACAGAAACCGCGACACUCAUCGCACUGAAACCUCAUUCCGGAAUGGCAUUCGUGGGCGCGACCUAACAGAGUUUACAAGUGUCUCUGUCAAGUUCGUACUGCUCUCACAGGCUAAGGUCAACUAACGAACUCUAACUGGUCUAACAACUAACAGAUCACGUGCCCUCGGCACAAUCCGUCGCCAAAAAGGCGAUACGGGUCCAACGUCAACCCCGACGGCCCCCAACAGUCCGGAACAGCCUGAAAGCUACUAUGAAAAAAUUCACUCGGCAUCCCAGCACGAGCGUAAAUACAUUCUAAUCUACCUGGGAUACUCACUAUGAUGAUACUGCAACAGUAUAAAAUCAUACAACGGCCCCUAGGGCUAAAUCAGGUAGUUUAACAUAUGACGAUUAAUAUCGCAAGUUUUCUCUUAAGUCUUAUCCAAGUCCAACAUGUAUGUAUAUCCCUAGAUAAAUAGACUAAGCUCCAAUUCAGAUUAUUACAAAACUAAAUCAAUGAACCGAGCAAUUGCGACACGCAAAAGAAUUCCGCUAAUACAUGUUGACUAUAUAGGCACUUAGGAGUAAGCCGAUGAUUAACCCACCUCGGUCGCUAAUCCCGGGCAGCACGGAACUCCCUCGGCUGUGGAACAACCUGUUGGAUCGACUAAAAAUGUCCGAGUCCCGAAAUCGAGCUAUCUCCAACUAUAAACAUUGAAAAUCCUCAAUUCAGUUCAAAAUCCACAGCAGCAGAGUAAAACAGAGCUUCGACCAAGCUAACCUUCACCAAAUCCCGCAAGUAAGGGAUUCGUGGAUUCCUCUCAAAGUCCUGAAUCCAGCGAACCAAGUCUCGUCAAAAUCCGAUGCUCCUGCGUCGAGUACGAGCUAAAAUACUAACAGUCGACGAUGAAUUUCAGCAAAACAGCAUCACUUGAGUUCGAAGUAGUAAGAACUUGCCCAAAAACAAAUGGAAAUGCUGAAUUACCCACCUCGACAACGCCAAGCACCGAUGCGACAGCAAAAACGGCAAAAACCCACGCUCGCCCGGCCUCCUCGCGCUACCCCGGCGUCAAAAGUGUGCUCGAACGGUCCCGCAGCGCGACGUCGGCGACAAACCUUCCAACCGAACUUCUUCCUUGCCUUCAACCGGAUGAGAGUGAGAGAGAGAUGAAGAUGAAGAAAAAGGACUCCUCUCUCUCUCUACACAAAGUUAUAUAGAGAGAGGGAGAGCUACUGAUACAAACGAGGUGGAGAUUUACUCAAAUACCCUCUCACCUACCCCCUUGUACCGGUACACGGGCUCCUGUACCGGUACAAGAGCCAACCCGAGGGCAACCUGCGCGCAGCCUCGCUAGUUGUACCGGUACAGCGACGCUGGUUGUAUCGGUACAGCAAGUAGAGAAAUCUGCUGUUUUGCAGAUUUCUUCGCUAUAAGCUGCCCUCGCGUCGCACGGAGUCCGUUUUGCGUAUAUUUGACGCCAAUGCGACUCGGACUUGUCCCGACACUCUCCAGAGCUGCCGACAAGCCUCCACAAUAGUACACCAGGGAUCUCACAUCCUCCCCCUCUACAAAAAGUUUCGUCCGCAAAACUUAAGUACACCUCAACUCAGGCAUCAAACAACUAGGGAUAGGCCUCCCUCAUCACCGUCUCAGGCUCCCAAGUCGCCUCCCGUUCCUCGUGAUCGCUCCACUGCACUUUCACAUACGGUAUGACCCAGUUGCGCAAUUCUUUCGUCUCCCAAGCAAGAAUCCGCAAAGGUCGCUCCUCGUAUCUCAGAUCCUCGCUAAUCUCUAGUGGAGUGAAGUCGAUCACGUGAGAGGGAUCGAAAACGUAUCUUCUCAAUACUGAGACGUAGAAAACAUCGUAUAUGCCAGCAAAUCGCGGGGGUAGAGUUAUUCUGUAUGCAACCGGUCAAACUCGCUCCAAUAUCUCGAAAGGGCCAACAAAUCGUGGACUGAGCUUUCCACGUACCCCAAAUCAGCGUAUCCCUCUGGACGGCGAGACUUUGAGGAAAACAUGAUCUCCAACCUGAAACUUCAAGUCUCGUCUCCUGGUAUCGGCGUAGCUCCUCUGACGGCUCUGUGCUGUCAAAAGGUGUCGUCGAACAACUCUCACAUUUUCCUCAGCCUCAAGUAGAAUCUCCGGUCCAAGUGUCCUCCUCUCACCCACAUCACUCCAAAACAGAGGGGAUCGACAUCUGCGUCCAUACAACGCCUCAAACGGAGCCAUCUGAAUGCUCGUUUGAUAGUUGUUGUCGUACGCAAACUCAACUAGUCUCACAUGUCGAUACCACCCUCCUCCAAAAUCCAGGACGCAUGCCCUCAGCAUGUCCUCUAGAGUCUGUUUGGUCUUCUCUGAUUGACCAUCAAUCUGUGGGUGGAACGCCGUGCUGAAAUGCAGCUGAGUGCCCAAGGCUGUCUGAAGGCUCCUCCAAAACUGGGAUACAAACCUCGGGUCUCUGUCUGACACAAUAGACACUGGCACGCCGUGCAGCCUGACGAUCUCAUCCAGGUAUAUCUGCGCGAGUCUCUCUCUAGACCAGAUAAUCUGAACUGGUAGGAAGUGAGCAGACUUGGUCAGUCUGUCCACUAUCACCCAAAUAGCGUCACAACCACUCUGUGCUCUAGGCAAUCCCACGACAAAAUCCAUCGUGAUGUACUCCCACUUCCACUCUGGCACUGGCAGACUCUGAAGCUUGCCAGCAGGUACCUGCUGCUCGGCCUUCACCUGUUGGCAAGUCAAACACUGAGCCACAUAUCUGCCAAUGUCCCUCUUCAUUCCAUGCCACCAGAACUGUGCCUUUAAAUCCUUAUACAUUUUGGUUCCCCCACGGUGAACCGUAUAAGGAGAACAAUGAGCCUCUCUCAGAAUGUCUGCUCGAAUCUCUGAAUCCACAGGCACACACAGUCGGUCCCUGUACCGCAGUACUCCCGAACUGUUCACAGCAAAACCCUCAGCCUACCCCCUGUCUAGCUGCUCUCUAAUCCUCAACAAGUACGGAUCUCCACUCUGUUUCUCUCGGAUCCUAUCCAACAGAGUGGGCUGCAAAACUAGAGACGUCAGCCUCGCUGUAGAACCAGGAGGUACUAUCUCGAGUCCCAGCUGCUGUAGCUCCUCGAGUAGGGGUCUCUGCUCAGUGAUCGUCAAACUCAGGCUCUGCACUGACUUCCUGCUCAACGCAUCUGCCACAACAUUCGCCUUGCCAGGAUGAUACUGAAUACUAAUAUCAUAGUCCUUCAGUAACUCCAACCACCGGCGCUGCCUCAAGUUCAGCUCCCUCUGUGUGAACAGACACUUGAGACUUUUAUGAUCAGUAAAGACCUUGCAGUGCUCACCGUACAAGUAAUGCCGCUAGAGCUUCAAAGCAAAUACCACCGCGGCAAGCUCCAAAUCAUGCUAGGGUAAUUCUUCUCAUAAUCCUUUAACUGCCGUGAAGCAUAAGCAAUUACCCUACCAUGCUGCAUCAGCACACAACCAUGCAUCACUGAAGAUCACAAAUCCUUCCCCCAUCACCGGAAAGGUAAGGAUAGGAGCCGAUGUCAACCUCAGUCUCAACUCGUCAAAGCUCCUCAGACAGUCGUCACUCUAGACAAAUCGAAUCCUCUUCCACGUCAAGCGUGUAACGGGCAUGGAAAGCUUCGCAAAGCCUUCCACAAACUGACGGUAAUAUCCUGCCAGUCCCAGGAAACUCCGUACCUCAGUCACCGUCGUCGGUCUAGGCCAAUCUCGAAUCGCUUCAAUCUUCUUCGGGUCCACUGCUAUGCCCUCAGCUAAAAUCACGUGGCCCAAGAAAGCAACCUCCCGCAACCAGAACUCGCACUUCUUCAACUUGGCAUACAACUUCUUCUCUCGCAGAAGCUGUAGCACAAUUCUCAAGUGCUCCUCAUGCUUAGCAUCGCUCCGGGAGUAAAUCAGGAUAUCGUCGAUGAAGACUACCACAAACCUAUUCAAGAACGGCUUGAACACUCUGUUCAUCAAAUCCAUGAAUGCGGCAGGGGCAUUUGUCAAUCCAAAAGGCAUCACUGUAAACUCAUAAUGCCCGUACCGAGUCCGAAAAGUCGUCUUGGGAACAUCCUCGGCCCUCACCCUCAACUGGUGGUAACCUGACUGGAGAUCAAUCUUCGAAAAGACAUAAGAUCCCUGCAACUGAUCAAACAAAUCAUCAAUACGCGGCAAGGGAUACUUAUUCUUGAUGGUCACUUUAUUCAACUCCUGGUAAUCCACACACAGCCUAAGUGAACCAUCCUUCUACUUCACAAACAACACCGGCGCUCCCCAAGGCGAAAACACUAGUUCUCACAAACCCUCUAUCAUCAAAUCCUGCAGCUGCGCCUUUAGCUCUCUCAGCUCUGCUGGCGUCAUUCUAUAAGGUACCUUCGAGAUUGGUGCAGUUCCAGGAACUACAUCAAUCAUAAACUCAAUCUCCCUUUUCGGCGGCAACGUAGUCAACUCAGGGGAAAACACAUCCGAAAACUCGCGGACUAUAGGGAUAUCCUCGAGUGCCGGCGCCGCCGUAGGUACCUCCACAACUGUCGCAAGAAAAGCGAUACACCCACUACUCAGCAUUUGUCGAGCUCUCGCCGAAGAUAUCCAUGUGGCAAACAACGUACUCCUGCAGCCUCCGAACGUAAACUCCGUCUGGCCUGGCUCGCAGAACGUCACCGUCCUCGCUCCACAGUCUAUCGUAGUAUAGUACCGCGCCAGCGAAUCCAUACCGAGCACGAUGUCGAAGUCCUGCAGCUGCCCUAACACGAACAGGUCUGCGGGCAUAAACCAUGAAUUUAACUGCACCGGACACGACCAACAACACUCUGCAACCUGUAAAACAUGGUCGGGGAUAUGCACCUCUCGUGCCAAAGACAAUGACCCUAACUCUAGACCAUGCAACAAUACAAAUGCUCGGCUAACAAAAGAAUGCGAGGUACCGGUACCAACUAAAGUAUGAGUACAAAUGCCGAAAAUCACAGUAAUACCUGCCACUACACGAUCGGCUGCUGAAGAGUCCUCCCGGCGGUAACUUGGUGGUGCUCCAAAAGUCUGCUGGUCAGCUGGCUGCGCUGAUGCAAUGGAUAGCGCUGGAAAUGUCGCUCUAGGACACGCUGACCUCACAUGUCCUGGCUGUCCACAAGUGUAGCAGCGGCCCUCUUUCUGCUCAUAUUGUCGGGGCCAGUGUGGUCCUCCACAAAUCACGCACCGCAGCGUCCUCGGUGACGGUCCCUGCUGAAGCAAUCCCCUGGAAUGCUGACGCCCCGAUGAACCACGACCCUGAGAGCAAGAUCGAGAAAGCCUCAGCGGACGUCUGCUACUCGCCUGUCCUCCAUUAUCUGGAAAAGGGCGCUUCCUGUCUUGGCUCUGCCCCGGUGCCAUAGUCCGCUCCUGGACAGGUGUAACUCCGUGUCCCACCAAGAGUGCCUGCUGCACAGAUGCUCCUGUCUCAACGCCUAAAAACUAAGUGAUAAUCUCAUAAAUCCUCUGCAAUAGUACACUCUGCUACUUGAUCACCUCUGCCAGGGCAGCCAACUGCUCUCUCAAAUCAGGGGGUACACUUGCCUCCGGUCGUGCACUCGGCUCUGCCUGGUCAGGCAUCUUUAGCGGUGCGACUCGAUCCUUGGUCGACGGUCGACCACGGCAGCGAUCUGAAAGAAACAGAACGGGGUCAGAUAACACACAAACACUCUCGACCCAAUCAAUGAAAGUCUAGAAGGCAGCCCCUGUUUUCCUCCAAAAUUAUGUCGUCUGCAGCCAACAUAAUUUCUCAGGCCAAAACAGGUACUCCUUCAAUCACUCACCCCACUCACGGAGGAGUUAGAACAACUAAUCAGUGACUUUCGCAAUUAAAUUACGCCUCUCGCAUUUUGCUUUCCUAAGGUUUGCCAAACUUAGGUUCUCUAGGUCCCAACGACCUAAUGCUAAGCUCUGAUACCAAUUUAAUCUGUCACGCCCCGGAUUACACGUUCCCCGAGCACGCCGACAAAUCCGCCGUAUACAAAGAAUUUUUUCCUGUAUACGAAGCGACAGCUGUACCUGUAAAACAUACAAUACUACAAACAACAGUAUAGAGCUGCUAGAAGAACUAAUAAAGUAAAAGAAAUCGAGUUCCAUAUACAUACACUGAAUCCCAUAGUACAAAACUACUCGUGCUGGCGAGUUAAAAGUCUGUAUGUACAUGAACCCAAACCAAAACAUCUACCUGCAGUAGGGGUGCCUCUAGCUCUGCUCCUCGGGUAGGGCUCUAACUCGCGACGCCCUUGCUUAGAUCCUGAUCAGCAAUAGCAGCAGCCGAAGACGAAGGCUCUACAAAAACGGGGUAACAACUGGGCGUGAGAACUAUUGUAGAAACAAGUAGUCCUCAGUGGGUGAAGCCCUCAACAAUCAUCGGUCCACCCACUAAGUCUACAGAAGGUAACAAGGCUAGCAGGAAAAGCUGGAAAGAAAUCUACAGCUACAUAUCGCUAUACUAGCAUGAUCUACACUUACCAACUGUAGUAAAAGUCACAACUGACUCAAUCUCACUAGGGACUGUGAACACACCCGUCCCGCCUGUCGGAUCGAACCCGUAACCUACUCCAAGAGUAGCUGGUGGAGAAAACUCUCUAGGGACUGUGAAUACACCCAUCCCGUCUAAUUAGGUGACACCGUAGCUCAAGGUAACCGGCGGAGAAGACUCUCUAGAGACUGUGAAUACACCUGUUUCAUCUACUAGACUACACCGUAUCUCAAGAGUAACCGGCGGAGAAAACUCUCUAAAGACUGUGAAUACACC
rnacentral:lncRNA from 1 species